rnacentral:ncRNA from 1 species
CCCCUUAUGUCCUGGGCUACACACGUGUUACAAUGGGUAGGACAACGAGCAGCCAGCCAGCGAUGGUGAGCAAAUCUCUUAAACCUACUCUCAGUUCGGAUCGCAGUCUGCAACCCGACUGCGUGAAGUCGGAAUCGCUAGUAACCGUAGAUCAGCACGCUGCGGUGAAUACGUUCCCGGGUCUUGUACACACCGCCCGUCACACCAUGGGAGCUGAUCACGCCCGAAGUCGGUGAGCUAACCCUCUGGGAAGCAGCCGCCUAAGGCAGGGUCGGUGACUGGGGUGAAGUCGUAACAAGGUAGCCGUACCGGAAGGUGUGGCUGGAUCACCUCCUUU